AAAGUCCUAUAAUUUUGUUAAGCAUAUGUAUUGGUACAGAGCAGAUUAGCAUGGCUCCUGUGCAAGGAUGACAUAAAAAUAUAUGAGGUGUUCCAUAUUUUU
ensembl:snRNA U6 U6 spliceosomal RNA